AGUCUGGUGCCAGCAGCCGUGGUAAUUCUAGCUCCAAUAGCGUAUAUUUAAGUUGCUGCAGUUAAAAAGCUCGUAGUUGGAUCUUGGGUCAUAAAGGUCGGUCCGCCUACUCGGUGUGCACCUGCCCUUUCGUCCCUUUUGUCGGCGGCGUGCUCCUGACCUUAAUUGGAUGGGUCACGGCUCCGGCGCUGUUACUUUGAAAAAAUUAGAGUGCUCAAAGCAAGCUUAUGCUCUGAAUACAUUAGCAUGGAAUAACGUGAUAGGAGUCUGGUCCUAUUGUGUUGGCCUUCAGGAUCAGAGUAACGAUUAAUAGGGACUGUCGGGGGCAUUCGUAUUUCAUUGUCAGAGGUGAAAUUCUUGGAUUUAUGAAAGACGGACCACUGCGAAAGCAUUUUCCAAGGAUGUUUUCAUUAAUCAAGAACGAAAGUUGGGGGCUCGGAGACGAUCAGAUACCGUCCUAGUCUCAACCAUAAACGAUGCUGACCACGGAUCGGUGGAUUUUGCUCUAAGGACUCCGCCAGCACCUUCUGAGAAAUCAGAGUGUUUGGGUUCCGGGGGGAGUAUGGUCGCAAGGCUGAAACUUAAAGGAAUUGACGGAAGGGCACCACUAGGAGUGGAGCCUGCGGCUUAAUUUGACUCAACACGGGGAAACUUACCAGGUCCAGACAUAGUAAGGAUUGACAGAUUGAGAGCUCUUUCUUGAUUCUAUGGGUGGUGGUGCAUGGCCGUUCUUAGUUGGUGGAGCGAUUUGUCUGGUUAAUUCCGAUAACGAACGAGACCUCAGCUUGCUAACUAGCUACGCGGAGGUUCCCCUUCGCGGCCAGCUUCUUAGAGGGACUAUGGCCGUUUAGGCCAUGGAAGUUUGAGGCAAUAACAGGUCUGUGAUGCCCUUAGAUGUUCUGGGCCGCACGCCCGCUACACUGAUGCAGCCAACGAGCUUUUCUUCCUGGUUCGAGAGGAUCGGGAAAUCUUUUCAAAUUGCAUCGUGAUGGGGAUAGACCAUUGCAAUUAUUGGUCUUCAACGAGGAAUUCCUAGUAAGAGCGUGUCAUCAACUCGUGUUGACUACAUCCCUGCCCUUUGUACACACCGCCCGUCGCUCCUACCGAUUGAAUGAUUCGGUGAAGUGAUCGGAUUGCGUCGACGAUGGUGGUUCGCCGCCGUCGACGUCGUGAGAAGUUCAUUGAACCUUAUCAUUUAGAGGAAGGAGAAGUCGUAACAAGGUUACCAUAGGUGAACCUGCGGUAG
rnacentral:rRNA from 1 species